rnacentral:rRNA from 1 species
CGGAAUUACUGGGGGGAAAGGGUUCGUAGGCGGUGCGGCAAGUUGGGAGUGAAAUCUCUGGGCUUAACCCAGAGGCUGCUUCCAAAACUGCUGUGCUUGAGUGUGGGAGAGGCGCGUGGAAUUGCAGGUGUAGCGGUGAAAUGCGUAGAUAUCUGCAGGAACACCCGUGGCGAAAGCGGCGCGCUGGACCACUACUGACGCUGAGGAACGAAAGCUAGGGGAGCAAACAGG